rnacentral:lncRNA from 1 species
GAGCGUGCUCCUCCCACCUCUGGCUACUCCAGCAGCCUCCCUAGGCCAUGAUUGCUCCUCUGCCACCUGAAAACAAAAAGGAAGAAGACAAAAAUAAGGGAUUAAAAAGGAAAAUUGAAUAGAAGAAAAGAGGGUUUUUUUGGCAACACAAAAAAAGGAAAAAUAGCAGAGAAACAAAAAAUCAAACAGCAGCAAUCGAAAAGCCCACCCCGCCGUCGAUCCCGCAACCACCUUUGUCGCACCGCCACUGUGACACCACCACCACCAUCGCACCUACACAAACAAGCAAAGCAGCAAGCAAAAAAUAUAAAAACAGCAAGCAAAGAAAAAACCAGCAACCAAAAAGAAAGAAGAGAAGAAAGAAAAAGAGAUAGAGAAGGAGAAGGGAGGCGCGCCGGCCACCGCACCACCGAACAGAAGAAUCGUCAGCGGCAUAAAGAGGCUAGAGUUCGGCCAGAAGAAGAAGAAAAAGAAAAAAAGAAAGAAGAAAAAGAGAGAAGAGAAAAAGAGAAAAAAUAUCACAGUCGGGUCAACCUGACCUGACCCGACCCGACCCGCGCUCCAGCAGCCCCAAAACAGCAGGCUUGUCCAGAAAAAAAACAAAAAAAUAGCAGGCCUGCAGCAGAAAAAA